UCUCUCUCUCUCUCUCUCUCUCUCUCUCUCUCUCUCUCAUAUGAAGUAACUUAAAUAUUUGUACCCAGUUCCUCAUGAAAUAACUAAAAGAAUGGGGAAAGAGAAAAGUUUGAUAGGGAUGGAAAGGCAAGUCUUUUCAAUGAUAGCUAUGGAGAAAGGACACAUACCUUAUUCUGGCCAAACUCCUCUUACAUCAUUUUGCAUCAUCUUGUAAGAUGGUCUAGCACCCAAUGAACCAUGGUUUUUCAUAGUCCAUCUGGCAUUGGGUUUACCAAGAGCAUAGUAUGGGUGGCAACUGACUCAGCCUAGGCCGGGCCAGCUUGGCCCUAUUCGCCAUAGGCUCUGCCGAGGUUAAAGAGGCGCUAGCCUAGGUCGAGCCAAAUAAAAAAAUGAAAAAAAAAUAAUAAAAAAGGUCGCAGAAUCAGGCCGGCCAUAGCCCAU
rnacentral:lncRNA from 1 species